CCCGCUCAGAAACUACAAGGAAUUGACGGGGGCCCGCACAAGCGGUGGAGUAUGUGGUUUAAUUCGAUGCAACGCGAAGAACCUUACCUGGUCUUGACAUCCCGGAGACCCUUAGGAAACUAGGGGGUGCUUCCAUCUGGAAGAAUCUGGAGACAGGUGCUGCAUGGCUGUCGUCAGCUCGUGUCGUGAGAUGUUGGGUUAAGUCCCGCAACGAGCGCAACCCUUGCCUUUAGUUGCCAGCAGUUCGGCUGGGCACUCUAAAGGGACUGCCGGUGUUAAACCGGAGGAAGGUGGGGAUGACGUCAAGUCCUCAUGGCCUUUAUGACCAGGGCUACACACGUACUACAAUGGCCGAUACAAAGGGCAGCGACACUGCGAGGUGAAGCCAAUCCCGUAAAAUCGGUCUCAGUUCGGAUUGAAGUCUGCAACUCGACUUCAUGAAGCUGGAAUCGCUAGUAAUCGCAGAUCAGCCAAGCUGCGGUGAAUACGUUCCCGGGCCUU
rnacentral:rRNA from 1 species